rnacentral:lncRNA from 1 species
UGGGUAUGAAUCAAAAUUAAGAAUUAGAAAUGAAAAUGAGAAAAGUAUGAAUCUUUUUUGAAAGGUGGUGGUGGGGUGGGUUCGGGUUCGGUUCAGCUCCAGAGAGAAGAGGAAGAGAGUGGAGCUGAAACCAAUGAAGGUGAAGAAGCGUGUUCUGCAAUGCAAUCUUUGUUUUCUUCCACACACACAAACGUACACAAAACACACUUCACUUGUUUGUAAUUGACAAAUUUGGGUCCUCAC